AUCUGGAUACCUUAGUUGGUUAGAGUGUGGUGCUGAUAACAUCAAGGUUGUGGGUUUGAUCCCCGUAUGGGACA